AUGAAACCAGUGCAGCCACAACGCCGGCCGCACCCAGGGAAACGCAAGACGCUGACGACCCGACGGCACCAACGGCACCAUCGAGGAGGAGGGCAAGCAGCGGAGCCAUUAUUCCUGGCCGGCGACGAGUUCUCCACCGGAUCGACGCCGACGGGACCUAAAACUAACCUAUCUACACGCCAGGACAAGAGGAACGGGACCCCCACCUCCCCCCCGCCGCCGGAGCGCGCGGCCGGAGGAGGCAAGGAUCCACGCCUCGCCGGCGGGAAGCGAGGAAACUGGAGAACUCUCCCUGUCGCCGAUCUACUGUAG
rnacentral:rRNA from 1 species